GUGCUCGGUUUGUAGGCAGUGUCAUUAGCUGAUUGUACUGUGGUGGUUAACAAUCACUAACUCCACUGCCAUCAAAACAAGGCAC
rnacentral:pre_miRNA from 1 species